AUGGCUCAGUGGUACAGCAUCUGCCUGGCAAGCACAAGGUCCUGAGUUCAAUUCCUAGU
rnacentral:tRNA from 1 species